rnacentral:rRNA from 1 species
ACCUGGUUGAUCCUGCCAGUAGUCAUAUGCUUGUCUCAAAGAUUAAGCCAUGCAUGUCUAAGAUCGCUCGGAACUCGAAAGAGUUUAUCGGUAAUCUGCGAAAGGCUCAUUAUAACAGUUACAAACUUAGCCACUAGUUUUUCUUACAAGGAUAACACAGCCAACUGCAGCGAUAAUACUUGCUCAAAAACCAAUGAAUUGUAUAAUUGGUGAGCAAUAGCAUUAAAGGAACGUAUGCUAUUUACCUCGAAAGAGGUGUUGACCGCAGCAAUGUGGCCUAGAGGAAGUAUUUCUUCCUUAUCAGUUAGUUGUUUCAGUAAGGGUGAAACAAGACACUUACGGGUACGGGGAAUCAGUGUUCGAUUCCGGAGAGGGAGCCUGAGAAAUGGCUACUACAUCUAAGGAGGGCAGCAGGCGCGAAAAUUACCCAAUCCUAACAAUUUUGGGAGGUAGUGACAAGAAAUAACGACCUCACACGCAGACUCUGUCGGUGGGAGGGUACUUCGGUUUGCAAUGGUCCUAGUUUAAAUCUCUAGGAGAGUAUCGAUUGGAGGACAAGUCUGGUGCCAGCACCCGCGGUAAUUCCAGCUCCAAAAGCAUAUACUAAAAUUGCUGUAGUUAAAACGCUCGUAGUUUGGUUAAUAGCCAUAAGUCACAAGUGUGAUCAGUAACUCUGUCCAGGAACCGUGAACAAAUUAAUGUGUUUAAGGCAAGCUCGUGUAUCUAAUACAUAGCUUGAAUAAUUUAGCAUGGAACCACUAUACCCUCCUUUUGGAGGGACCUGGUAAUAAAAGCUCGGCGGAGGACUCUGGUAUUGCGCACUUAGAGGUGAAAUUCCGAUAUUUCCGCAAGACGAACGGAUGCGUAGGCUGUCAUUGCCCAUCACACCUUUAUUGAUCAGGAACGAGAGUCAGGGGAUCGAAGAUGAUUAGAUACCGUCGUAGUCCUGACUGUAAACUAUACUAACAAGAGUUUGUGUAGACACUACUCUGUAUGAUCUUCGCAGAAUCCAAGGGAAACCUCAAGUUUUUGGGUUCUGGGGGGAGUAUAGUCGCAAGGCCGAAACUUAAAGGAAUUGACGGAAAGGCACCACCAGGAGUGGAGUUUGCGGCUUAAUUCGAC